AUUGAACGCUGGCGGCAUGCUUUACACAUGCAAGUCGAACGGUAACAGGGAGCUUGCUCCGCUGACGAGUGGCGAACGGGUGAGUAAUGCGUCGGAACGUGCCGAGUAGUGGGGGAUAACGCAUCGAAAGGUGUGCUAAUAUCGCAUACGAACUGAGGUUGAAAGUGGGGGACCUUCGGGCCUCACGCUAUUCGAGCGGCCGACGUCUGAUUAGCUAGUUGGUGAAGUAAAGGCUCACCAAGGCGACGAUCAGUAGCGGGUCUGAGAGGAUGGUCCGCCACACUGGGACUGAGUGACGGCCCAGACUCCUACGGGAGGCAGCAGUGGGGAAUUUUGGACAAUGGGCGCAAGCCUGAUCCAGCCAUGCCGCGUGUCUGAAGAAGGCCUUCGGGUUGUAAAGGACUUUUGUCCGGGAGCAAAUGCUGGUGGCUAACAUCCACCGGAGCUGAGAGUACCGGAAGAAUAAGCACCGGCUAACUACGUGCCAGCCGCCGCCGUAAUAC
rnacentral:rRNA from 1 species